UACGGAGGGGGCUAGCGUUGUUCGGAAUUACUGGGCGUAAAGAGCACGUAGGCGGCUUUGCAAGUCAGAGGUGAAAGCCCGGGGCUCAACCCCGGAAUUGCCUUUGAGACUGCAUCGCUAGAAUUGUGGAGAGGUAAGUGGAAUUCCGAGUGUAGAGGUGAAAUUCGUAGAUAUUCGGAAGAACACCAGUGGCGAAGGCGGCUCACUGGACUGGUAUUGACGCUGAUGUGCGAAAGCGUGGGGAGCAAACAGG
rnacentral:rRNA from 1 species